rnacentral:tRNA from 1 species
UAGAAAAAUGCUCGCUGGUUAGAGCGCUUAGCUGUUAACUAAGAUUUUGUAGGAUCGAGGCCUUCUUUUCUAG